UACGUAGGAGACGAGCGUUGUCCGGAAUUACUGGGCGUAAAGCGCGCGUAGGCGGCUUUGUAAGUUAGAGGUGAAAGCCCGGGGCUCAACCCCGGAACUGCCUUUAAAACUGCAUCGCUUGAAUCCGGGAGAGGUGAGUGGAAUUCCGAGUGUAGAGGUGAAAUUCGUAGAUAUUCGGAAGAACACCAGUGGCGAAGGCGGCUCACUGGACCGGUAUUGACGCUGAGGUGCGAAAGCGUGGGGAGCAAACAGG
rnacentral:rRNA from 1 species